rnacentral:rRNA from 1 species
CCUACGGGUGGCAGCAGUGAGGAAUAUUGGUCAAUGGACGAGAGUCUGAACCAGCCAAGUAGCGUGAAGGAUGACUGCCCUAUGGGUUGUAAACUUCUUUUAUAUGGGAAUAAAAUGCUCCACGUGUGGGAUUUUGUAUGUACCAUAUGAAUAAGGAUCGGCUAACUCCGUGCCAGCAGCCGCGGUAAUACGGAGGAUCCGAGCGUUAUCCGGAUUUAUUGGGUUUAAAGGGAGCGUAGAUGGAUUGUUAAGUCAGUUGUGAAAGUUUGCGGCUCAACCGUAAAAUUGCAGUUGAAACUGGCAGUCUUGAGUACAGUAGAGGUGGGCGGAAUUCGUGGUGUAGCGGUGAAAUGCUUAGAUAUCACGAAGAACUCCGAUUGCGAAGGCAGUUCACUGGACUGCAACUGACACUGAGGCUCGAAAGUGUGGGUAUCAAACAGGAUUAGAUACCCGAGUAGUC